GAGUUUGAUCCUGGCUCAGAAUGAACGCUGGCGGCAUGCCUAACACAUGCAAGUCGAACGAAGGCUUCGGCCUUAGUGGCGCACGGGUGCGUAACGCGUGGGAAUCUGCCCUCAGGUUCGGAAUAACAGCGAGAAAUUGCUGCUAAUACCGGAUGAUAUCGCGAGAUCAAAGAUUUAUCGCCUGAGGAUGAGCCCGCGUAGGAUUAGCUAGUUGGUGUGGUAAAGGCGCACCAAGGCGACGAUCCUUAGCUGGUCUGAGAGGAUGAUCAGCCACACUGGGACUGAGACACGGCCCAACUCCUACGGGAGGCAGCAGUGGGGAAUAUUGGACAAUGGGCGAAAGCCUGAUCCAGCAAUGCCGCGUGAGUGAUGAAGGCCUUAGGGUUGUAAAGCUCUUUUACCCGGGAUGAUAAUGACAGUACCGGGAGAAUAAGCUCCGGCUAACUCCGUGCCAGCAGCCGCGGUAAUACGGAGGGAGCUAGCGUUAUUCGGAAUUACUGGGCGUAAAGCGCACGUAGGCGGCUUUGUAAGUUAGAGGUGAAAGCCUGGAGCUCAACUCCAGAAUUGCCUUUAAGACUGCAUCGCUUGAAUCCAGGAGAGGUG
rnacentral:rRNA from 1 species